rnacentral:rRNA from 1 species
AGGACGAACGCUGGCGGCGUGCUUAACACAUGCAAGUCGAGCGGAAAGGCCUUUCGGGGUACUCGAGCGGCGAACGGGUGAGUAACACGUGAGUAAUCUGCCCAUCGCUUCAGGAUAGCCAUCGGAAACGGUGAUUAAUACUGGAUAUGACAUUCCUUCGCAUGUUGGGGUGUGGUAAAGUUUUUUCGGCGGUGGAUGUGCUCGCGGCCUAUCAGCUUGUUGGUGGGGUAAUGGCCUACCAAGGCUUUGACGGGUAGCCGGCUGGAGAGGGUGACCGGCCACACGUGGGACUGAGACACGGCCAGACCUCCGUACGGGAGGCAGCAGGUGGGAAUAGUUGGACAAGUGGGACGAAGCCUGACUCCGAGCCAACGCCGCGUAGAGGA